rnacentral:rRNA from 1 species
UACGUAGGGGGCAAGCGUUGUCCGGAAUGAUUGGGCGUAAAGGGCGCGUAGGCGGCCUGAUAAGUCUGGAGUGAAAGUCCUGCUUUCAAGGUGGGAAUUGCUUUGGAUACUGUUAGGCUUGAGUACAGGAGAGGAAAGCGGAAUUACCGGUGUAGCGGUGAAAUGCGUAGAGAUCGGUAGGAACACCAGUGGCGAAGGCGGCUUUCUGGACUGAAACUGACGCUGAGGCGCGAAAGCGUGGGGAGCAAACAGG